UUGAAAGGGAAACGAUUGAAGUCAGUGUACCUGUGGGGGAUCAGGCUUUUGGGUGUGAUUUUGUGGGGGGUGAAGAGUAAACGCCUUCAUGCCUGGUAUUCCUGCACUUGGGGUAUUUACCCGUGGGGGAAGUUAACAUCAAUUUCGGUCGUCAUAAAAUGGCUGGAGGAAUGUAGCUUCGAUCUUGUAUUGGAGUGUUAUAGCCUUCGGUAGGUGUGGUGGUCGGGAUUGAGGGUUGCAACGAUACCCUUCGGGGGUAACCCGUUAGAUCAAAUUGAUGGGCGAUGGGUUACAUUCGUUAAGGAUGUUGACGUA
rnacentral:rRNA from 1 species